rnacentral:rRNA from 1 species
AAAUUGAAGAGUUUGAUCAUGGCUCAGAUUGAACGCUGGCGGCAGGCCUAACACAUGCAAGUCGAACGGUAACAGGAAGCGCUUGCUGCUUCGCUGACGAGUGGCGGACGGGUGAGUAAUGUCUGGGAAACUGCCUGAUGGAGGGGGAUAACUACUGGAAACGGUAGCUAAUACCGCAUAACGUCGCAAGACCAAAGAGGGGGACCUUCGGGCCUCUUGCCAUCGGAUGUGCCCAGAUGGGAUUAGCUUGUUGGUGG